UCUAAGUAUGUAUAUAUGUAUGAUGAAAAUAUAUAUACUAGAAUAAGUAAUAAUAUGAAAAUAAAUCUUGAUGUUAUAAGUGAAAGGUUAUGAGUGAAUUGUGUUUGUGAUUUCGCUUCUUCGCAACAUUGUUUUGAUAUUUUGAUUGCGUUAAACUUUAAUCAGUAAACUUUGGAUCCUACGGAGAUCAUACAUUUUCUAUAAAUUCAAAGCUAUAAUACAAUUGUUUAUUUUUAACUGUUAUUUAUUGAAAACGUAUGAUUUCCGUAGGAUCCAAAGAGAGAAUUGAGAGAAAAUAUCUGUUAAUGACAACGACACUUGUAACUUGUGAAGCAAUACCAUAUUCUGCUAGCAACAACGGGAUAAUGGUUUCAAAAGAGCGACCAGAGAUUGAUUUAAAUGCUAUUAGAAAACAAAUAUUUGAUUAUGAUAAAUCAAAUGUCUUAGAUACAUUAAUGCAUCAAUAUGAAAACAAAUUGCCUAAUUUAAAUAUAUACGUUUAAUACGGCAAUGUUUAGGAGAUUUUUUUUCAAAAAGCGUUAAACGGUAUGCAUGUGAAUUUCUUACAGCUCUUUGUACAAAAUAUGAUUAUAUAAAAAGUUUAAUCGAGCAUCAAGUCACUUCUGUUAAACGAUGCAAAAGUUGUAAUAAUACAACGACUAUUGUUAAAAAUAAUAUCCUUCUUUCAAUUCCUGUAAAUAAAUGGAAGAAAAAAAGUUUAGAUCUUAAUGAAUUAUUUAAUGCAACGUUUUCUCAUUAUCAAUUACAGAACGAAUCAUGCAAAAAUUGCACAGGAAAUGACAUAUUAUGUAAAAGUGAAUUUACAUUAAUCGGAAAUAUAAUGGUCAUUCAUUUAAUAUCAGUUCAAGACGGUAUACAAUCAAAAACAGAUAAAUUUACUUUGCGUGCUGUCCCAACAACUAAAAUAAACAUUGUUGGACAAUUCUACAAAGUAAUGAGUGCUAUAUUCCAUCAUGGAUCAUGUAUCGAAAAAGGUCACUACACAAGUAUAUGUAGAGAAGCAAUAUCUAACACUUGGAUUGAAGCUGACGAUGCGCAAAUUAGAAAUAGACAAUGGCCUAGAGGCGCUAAAGAUAUCUGUAUUAUUUUCUUACAGAAGAUUGAUAAGUAAU